UAUGAGCGCUCAUUAUUAAGUACAGCUGUGCGCGCUCACUUGAAGGUAUAGCAGUGCGUCUUAACGUUUUUUAGGGACUCAAGCAAAAAUUGCUGCACCCUGCGUAAGCAAAAUGGACUUCUCGCUGUCAGGAGAACCACAGAAGGGUCACAGGAAGUGCCCCUCUUUCCUGACCCCGCUGGUCAUGUGUGAACAGCAAUGGGUCAUCCUGCAGGAAACAGGAAGUGUCCUCGCACACCCUGUUCAUGCCUGACAUGUCAUCAGAAGAAAAAGGUUCUCCGGAGGAUAAAUCUGAAGCUAUUAAUUCAACUGGGGGAAAAAAAGAAAAGAAGGAACAACAUCACAAGGACGUUCGCCAAUGCCUUGAACCCUAACACACACGCGCACGCACACACAUGCCUGAAUUCACUGUCUUAUCAUUCAGCUCUUCUGGAAUGUAAGGAGGGAUCAUGAGCAGUAUCCAGGUCAAAGGUCAAGAUAGAAAUGCUCCUUUCUAGGAUUUCUUGCCCGUGUAAACAUGUGCGGUUAAUAUACAAUAUUAAAUAAUGCUGUCUUUAUGGCUAUUGUUUGCUC